GAUGAAGAACGUAGUGAACUGCGAUAAGUAAUGUGAAUUGCAGAAUUCAGUGAAUCAUCGAGUCUUUGAACGCACAUUGCGCCCCCUGGCAUUCCGGGGGGCAUGCCUGUCCGAGCGUCAUUGCUGCCCUUCAAGCCCGGCUUGUGUGUUGGGUCGUCGUCCCCCCCGGGGGACGGGCCCGAAAGGCAGCGGCGGCACCGCGUCCGGUCCUCGAGCGUAUGGGGCUUUGUCACCCGCUCGAUUAGGGCCGGCCGGGCGCCAGCCGGCGUCUCCAACCUUUUAUUUUACCAGGUUGACCUCGGAUCAGGUAGGGAUACCCGCUGAACUUAAGCAUAUCAAUAAGCGGAGGA
rnacentral:misc_RNA from 1 species